rnacentral:misc_RNA from 1 species
UCCGGCUUAUCACCGGCAGUUUUCUCAGAGUGCCCAACUGAAUGCUGGCAACAGAGAAUGAGGGUUGCGCUCGUUGCGGGACUUAACCCAACAUCUCACGACACGAGCUGACGACAGCCAUGCAGCACCUGUGCACCUCCCACCCGAAGUGAAGAGCUCCCUUUCAGGAGCUCAUAGAGGGCAUGUCAAAGCCUGGUAAGGUUCUUCGCGUUGCCUCGAAUUAAACCACAUGUUCCACCGCUUGUGCGGGUCCCCGUCAAUUUCUUUGAGUUUUAAUCUUGCGACCGUACUCCCCAGGCGGGGUGCUUAACGCGUUAGCUGCGCCACGGAGAGGUAACCUCCCCACGGCUAGCACCCAUCGUUUACGGCGUGGACUAC